rnacentral:tRNA from 1 species
GGUAUAGCUCAGUGGUAGAGCACAUGCUUAGCAUGCACAAAGUCCUGGGUUCAAUCCCCAGAAACUA